AUGUCACAGCUUGGGAGGGACAUUAAAACCACCCAGUGUCACCCCUGCCAUGGCAGGGACACCUCCUACUGUCCCAGGCUGUUCCAAAAAACAUCCAGCCUGGCCUUGGACACUUCCAGGGAUCCAGGAGCAUCCACAGCUGCUCUGGGCACCUGUCCCAGCCCUCCCCACCCUCCCAGGGAACAAUCCCUGCCCAAUAUCCCAUCCAGCCCUGUCCUCUGGCAGUGGGAGCCCUUCCUCGUCCACAGUUCCUCUCCAGCAUCACAACCAUUUCUCUACAGCAAAGCAGAAUAUUUGGGUACCAGACUCAGCUCUCCCAAGUCUCCAAUGCCAGGAGCCCUGGCAGGACCCCCCUGUGCCCUGAGCCACCCUGGGUGUCCCAACCCCAGCCCCGCCACCUCUCCGGGGCUGCUCGGCUCCUUCCUGGCUUCAGCAGCGAAUGCACGAUUCCACCUCCCGGCCAAAAGCAAAGCACAGGAUAAAGGACACUUCAUCACGGUCUCAGCAGCCGCACACAACACAUCACACGGCACAGGAAUGUCGGGGCCCGGCGCUUCUCUAACGAAGCGAAGUAAAGUGGCAGCAUCAGCAGUGACACGCGUGGUGACAGAGGCUUCCCCCUCGGGGACUCCAGCAACCCGGACCCCUCUUUGGAUGAAAAUCCCACCCCAUGUAAACAACUCGUGUGGAAGGGGAGAAAGCAGCGCCCCCAGAGCCCCAGCUGGACGAGGAGAGCCCUUCCUUGGCCUCCCAGACUUUGGGGUGCGGGGCACCCCGGCUGCGCUCACCAUCCCCACAGCGCCAGCCCUGCCCCGCUCACGUUUUGGGGGGAGGGAAGGAGGGAACGGAUUCCCUGGGUGCCCCCAUCGCUGCGACAGCCCGAACAAGCCACACCUAAAGUGUUUUGUCACCCCCGCAGGUGCCCAAAGUGCUUGUGGAAGCGCAGGGACGCGGGGAGUGCCCGUGUCCCUCCUCCCGCACCCCCCCGGCCGGGGCUCGCCCCCCAUUAUUGCAUAG
rnacentral:lncRNA from 1 species